rnacentral:rRNA from 1 species
CUACGGGCGGCUCCAGUCGAGAAUCUUCCGCAAUGGACGAAAGUCUGACGGAGCGACGCCGCGUGCGGGAUGAAGGCCUUCGGGUUGUAAACCGCUGUCAGUGGGGAGGAAAUGCAUCAGGGUUCUCCCUGGUGUUUGACCGAUCCGCAGAGGAAGCGCAGGCUAAGUUCGUGCCAGCAGCCGCGGUAACACGAACUGCGCGAACGUUAUUCGGAAUCACUGGGCUUAAAGAGUUCGUAGGCGGUCUUUCAAGUCGGGUGUGAAAUCCCUCGGCUCAACCGAGGAAUUGCGCCUGAUACUGUUGGGCUUGAGGGGGAUAGGGGUGAGCGGAACUGAUGGUGGAGCGGUGACAUGCGUUGAUAUCAUCAGGAACACCGGUGGCGAAGGCGGCUCACUGGAUCUCUUCUGACGCUGAGGAACGAAAGCUAGGGGAGCGAACGGGAUUAGAUACCCUCGUAGUC